rnacentral:rRNA from 1 species
GGAAUAUUGGUCAAUGGACGCAAGUCUGAACCAGCCAUGCCGCGUGCAGGAUGACGGUCCUAUGGAUUGUAAACUGCUUUUGUACAGGAAGAAACAACUCUACGUGUAGAGUCUUGACGGUACUGUAAGAAUAAGGAUCGGCUAACUCCGUGCCAGCAGCCGCGGUAAUACGGAGGAUCCAAGCGUUAUCCGGAAUCAUUGGGUUUAAAGGGUCCGUAGGCGGUUUAGUAAGUCAGUGGUGAAAGCCCAUCGCUCAACGGUGGAACGGCCAUUGAUACUGCUAAACUUGAAUUAUUAGGAAGUAACUAGAAUAUGUAGUGUAGCGGUGAAAUGCUUAGAGAUUACAUGGAAUACCAAUUGCGAAGGCAGGUUACUACUAAUGGAUUGACGCUGAUGGACGAAAGCGUGGGUAGCGAACAGGAUUAGAUACCCUAG